UACGAAGGGUGCAAGCGUUAAUCGGAAUUACUGGGCGUAAAGCGUGCGUAGAUGGUUUGUUAAGUCGAAUGUGAAAGCCCCGGGCUCAACCUGGGAACUGCAUCCGAUACUGGCAGACUAGAGUGUGGUAGAGGAUGGCGGAAUUCCCGGUGUAGCGGUGAAAUGCGUAGAGAUCGGGAGGAACAUCCGUGGCGAAGGCGGCCAUCUGGGCCAACACUGACGCUCAUGCACGAAAGCGUGGGGAGCAAACAGG
rnacentral:rRNA from 1 species